rnacentral:rRNA from 1 species
AGUGAACGCUGGCGGUAGGCCUAACACAUGCAAGUCGAACGGCAGCACAGUAAGAGCUUGCUCUUACGGGUGGCGAGUGGCGGACGGGUGAGGAAUACAUCGGAAUCUACUUUUUCGUGGGGGAUAACGUAGGGAAACUUACGCUAAUACCGCAUACGACCUACGGGUGAAAGCAGGGGAUCUUCGGACCUUGCGCGAUUGAAUGAGCCGAUGUCGGAUUAGCUAGUUGGCGGGGUAAAGGCCCACCAAGGCGACGAUCCGUAGCUGGUCUGAGAGGAUGAUCAGCCACACUGGAACUGAGACACGGUCCAGACUCCUACGGGAGGCAGCAGUGGGGAAUAUUGGACAAUGGGCGAAAGCCUGAUCCAGCCAUACCGCGUGGGUGAAGAAGGCCUUCGGGUUGUAAAGCCCUUUUUUGGGAAAGAAAAGCAGCAGGUUAAUACCCCGCUGUUCUGACGGUACCCAAAGAAUAAGCACCGGCUAACUUCGUG